rnacentral:rRNA from 1 species
GCAUAUCAAUAAGCGGAGGAAAAGAAACCAACAGGGAUUGCCCUAGUAACGGCGAGUGAAGCGGCAACAGCUCAAAUUUGAAAUCUGGCUCUUUUAGAGUCCGAGUUGUAAUUUGCAGAGGGCACUUUGGCUUUGGCAGCGGUCCAAGUUCCUUGGAACAGGACGUCACAGAGGGUGAGAAUCCCGUACGUGGUCGCUGGCUAUUGCCGUGUAAAGCCCCUUCGACGAGUCGAGUUGUUUGGGAAUGCAGCUCUAAAUGGGAGGUACAUUUCUUCUAAAGCUAAAUAUUGGCCAGAGACCGAUAGCGCACAAGUAGAGUGAUCGAAAGAUGAAAAGCACUUUGGAAAGAGAGUCAAACAGCACGUGAAAUUGUUGAAAGGGAAGCGCUUGCAGCCAGACUUGCUUGCAGUUGCUCAUCCGGGCUCUUUUGCCCGGUGCAUUCUUCUGCAGGCAGGCCAGCAUCAGUUUGGGCGGUGGGAUAAAGGUCUCUGUCACGUACCUCUCUUCGGGGAGGCCUUAUAGGGGAGACGACAUACCACCAGCCUGGACUGAGGUCCGCGCAUUUAUGCUAGGAUGCUGGCGUAAUGGCUGUAAGCGGCCCGUCUUGAAACACGGACC